CGCUGGCGGCGUGCUUAACACAUGCAAGUCGAACGGGAUCCCUGGCGCUUGCGCCGGGGUGAGAGUGGCGAACGGGUGAGUAAUGCGUGACCAACCUGCCCCAUGCACCGGAAUAGCUCCUGGAAACGGGUGGUAAUGCCGGAUGCUCCAGAUGACCGCAUGGGAUUCUGGGAAAGCUUUUGCGGCAUGGGAUGGGGUCGCGUCCUAUCAGCUUGUUGGUGGGGUGAUGGCCCACCAAGGCUUCGACGGGUAGCCGGCCUGAGAGGGCGACCGGCCACAUUGGGACUGAGAUACGGCCCAGACUCCUACGGGAGGCAGCAGUGGGGAAUAUUGCGCAAUGGGCGAAAGCCUGACGCAGCGACGCCGCGUGCGGGAUGGAGGCCUUCGGGUUGUAAACCGCUUUUAUCGGGGAGCAAGCGAGAGUGAGUGUACCCGUUGAAUAAGCACCGGCUAACUACGUGCCAGCAGCCGCGG
rnacentral:rRNA from 1 species